rnacentral:lncRNA from 1 species
GCCGGCCCGCGUCGCCGUCUCUCGCCCUCCCCGGGCCGCGCGGCCGGAGCUGGCACAGAGCAUCGGCUGCCGCGGCGACACCACCGCCUGGGGACGCGGGCGCUGCGCUGGAUACGGCGCCACCGAGAGCGCCCGCCGCCCGCUGGUCUCUGUCCUGCAAUCCGGGGUUGCCCCCACGAGCGUCCAGCGUUUCCUGAGGGCGGGAGUGUCCGGGCGGUGCGGGGCGCGGGGACCGAGCGCGGCUGAGGAGACCGAGCUGGGGCAGCGCCUGUCGGAGCCCGGAGGACGGCGCGGGGGUCUCGCGGAGCCCGCGGGAGCCUGGCCCUCCGUGCAGAGCAGUUUUCUGGAACUCUCCGCCUCCGCCUCCCUUGGGGCCCAGUGCGGCGCUGAGCCCCCGUCCGGAUCUGCCUGAGAAAAGAGUGUCAUGAAAAAAGAACCGAAGAGAGACCUCACUGUUGCUGAAAGGGGAAUUUUCUUUCCCAGUUGGCUGUUACUUCAUGAUUGGACGAGAAGUAUCUAGGUGGCUGAAGAGAUUGCAUUUUUAUGGUUAUACACAUGAAGCUGAUAAAAGAAGAUAUGAACAUGGUUUCUCUUUGUCAUAAUAGGCUGAUGAGUAAGUAAGCCUGAAAAAUAUUUGAAAUGAAGGCAGGAAUUUUGAAUUUUUUAAAACCAACUAAGACUUUGAUCACUUGUUGAGGAUGUUUCUUUCUCAUAAAUGGAAGAAAAACAUUCACAAGACAAGAAGUAUAAAACGUUGAGAGGAAUGACAACUGAGUCCACUCACUCGAAGAAUGUCAGUACUUUAUCAUCUUCUUUGGGCAAACAUACACAAAUGCAUCAUAUAUGUGUGGUGAACUUAUCACCAGUGAUGGUUUUCUAUGUUAGAAAUGACUCUUAAUUUGAAUUUUGGAGUGCUUUUUCUCUUUUUUUAACGAUGUGUGUUCCAAGUCUUUGUGUUAAAUAGAUUUAAGUAAAGGAAGUAAAUGCUAAAUUCAUAGUGUUUUUUAACUGUACCACUUCCCUGUGUAUUAUGGAAAAAUUAGAAAUUUUAACGUUCUUCGAAGUUUUACUGGAAGCAAAACUGUGCCAGGGACAGAGAUACACAAUUUAAGUUUUCUCUUUCUGGCAACUGCACUUGCUUAGAAUGUACUG